rnacentral:rRNA from 1 species
GGGUUGUGAGGUUAAGCGACUAAGCGUACACGGUGGAUGCCCUGGCAGUCAGAGGCGAUGAAGGACGUGCUAAUCUGCGAAAAGCGUCGGUAAGGUGAUAUGAACCGUUAUAACCGGCGAUGUCCGAAUGGGGAAACCCAGUGUGAUUCGUCACACUAUCGUUAACUGAAUACAUAGGUUAACGAGGCGAACCGGGGGAACUGAAACAUCUAAGUACCCCGAGGAAAAGAAAUCAACCGAGAUUCCCCCAGUAGCGGCGAGCGAACGGGGAGCAGCCCAGAGUCUGAAUCAGCUUGUGUGUUAGUGGAACGGUCUGGAAAGUCCGACGGUACAGGGUGAUAGUCCCGUACACCAAAAUGCACAGGCUGUGAACUCGAAGAGUAGGGCGGGACACGUGGUAUCCUGUCUGAAUAUGGGGGGACCAUCCUCCAAGGCUAAAUACUCCUGACUGACCGAUAGUGAACCAGUACCGUGAGGGAAAGGCGAAAAGAACCCCGGCGAGGGGAGUGAAAAAGAACCUGAAACCGUGUACGUACAAGCAGUGGGAGCACCUUUAUGGUGUGACUGCGUACCUUUUGUAUAAUGGGUCAGCGACUUAUAUUCUGUAGCAAGGUUAACCGUAUAGGGGAGCCGCAGGGAAACCGAGUCUUAACUGGGCGUUAAGUUGCAGGGUAUAGACCCGAAACCCGGUGAUCUAGCCAUGGGCAGGUUGAAGGUUGGGUAACACUAACUGGAGGACCGAACCGACUAAUGUUGAAAAAUUAGCGGAUGACUUGUGGCUGGGGGUGAAAGGCCAAUCAAACCGGGAGAUAGCUGGUUCUCCCCGAAAGCUAUUUAGGUAGCGCCUCGUGAAUUCAUCUUCGGGGGUAGAGCACUGUUUCGGCUAGGGGGUCAUCCCGACUUACCAACCCGAUGCAAACUACGAAUACCGAAGAAUGUUAUCACGGGAGACACACGGCGGGUGCUAACGUCCGUCGUGAAGAGGGAAACAACCCAGACCGCCAGCUAAGGUCCCAAAGUCAUGGUUAAGUGGGAAACGAUGUGGGAAGGCACAGACAGCCAGGAUGUUGGCUUAGAAGCAGCCAUCAUUUAAAGAAAGCGUAAUAGCUCACUGGUCGAGUCGGCCUGCGCGGAAGAUGUAACGGGGCUAAACCAUGCACCGAAGCUGCGGCAGCGACGCUUAUGCGUUGUUGGGUAGGGGAGCGUUCUGUAAGCCUGCGAAGGUGGCCUGUGAGGGUUGCUGGAGGUAUCAGAAGUGCGAAUGCUGACAUAAGUAACGAUAAAGCGGGUGAAAAGCCCGCUCGCCGGAAGACCAAGGGUUCCUGUCCAACGUUAAUCGGGGCAGGGUGAGUCGACCCCUAAGGCGAGGCCGAAAGGCGUAGUCGAUGGGAAACAGGUUAAUAUUCCUGUACUUGGUGUUACUGCGAAGGGGGGACGGAGAAGGCUAUGUUAGCCGGGCGACGGUUGUCCCGGUUUAAGCAUGUAGGCUGGUUAUCCAGGCAAAUCCGGAUAAUCAAGGCUGAGGUGUGAUGACGAGGCACUACGGUGCUGAAGUAACAAAUGCCCUGCUUCCAGGAAAAGCCUCUAAGCAUCAGGUAACAUCAAAUCGUACCCCAAACCGACACAGGUGGUCAGGUAGAGAAUACCAAGGCGCUUGAGAGAACUCGGGUGAAGGAACUAGGCAAAAUGGUGCCGUAACUUCGGGAGAAGGCACGCUGGUGUGUAGGUGAAGUCCCUGCGGAUGGAGCUGAGACCAGUCGAAGAUACCAGCUGGCUGCAACUGUUUAUUAAAAACACAGCACUGUGCAAACACGAAAGUGGACGUAUACGGUGUGACGCCUGCCCGGUGCCGGAAGGUUAAUUGAUGGGGUUAUCCGUAAGGAGAAGCUCUUGAUCGAAGCCCCGGUAAACGGCGGCCGUAACUAUAACGGUCCUAAGGUAGCGAAAUUCCUUGUCGGGUAAGUUCCGACCUGCACGAAUGGCGUAAUGAUGGCCAGGCUGUCUCCACCCGAGACUCAGUGAAAUUGAACUCGCUGUGAAGAUGCAGUGUACCCGCGGCAAGACGGAAAGACCCCGUGAACCUUUACUAUAGCUUGACACUGAACAUUGAGCCUUGAUGUGUAGGAUAGGUGGGAGGCUUUGAAGCGUGGACGCCAGUCUGCGUGGAGCCAACCUUGAAAUACCACCCUUUAAUGUUUGAUGUUCUAACGUUGGCCCCUAAUCGGGGUUGCGGACAGUGUCUGGUGGGUAGUUUGACUGGGGCGGUCUCCUCCCAAAGCGUAACGGAGGAGCACGAAGGUUAGCUAAUCCUGGUCGGACAUCAGGAGGUUAGUGCAAUGGCAUAAGCUAGCUUGACUGCGAGCGUGACGGCGCGAGCAGGUGCGAAAGCAGGUCAUAGUGAUCCGGUGGUUCUGAAUGGAAGGGCCAUCGCUCAACGGAUAAAAGGUACUCCGGGGAUAACAGGCUGAUACCGCCCAAGAGUUCAUAUCGACGGCGGUGUUUGGCACCUCGAUGUCGGCUCAUCACAUCCUGGGGCUGAAGUAGGUCCCAAGGGUAUGGCUGUUCGCCAUUUAAAGUGGUACGCGAGCUGGGUUUAGAACGUCGUGAGACAGUUCGGUCCCUAUCUGCCGUGGGCGCUGGAGAAUUGAGGGGGGCUGCUCCUAGUACGAGAGGACCGGAGUGGACGCAUCACUGGUGUUCGGGUUGUCAUGCCAAUGGCACUGCCCGGUAGCUAAAUGCGGAAGAGAUAAGUGCUGAAAGCAUCUAAGCACGAAACUUGCCCCGAGAUGAGUUCUCCCUGAGACUUUAAGUCUCCUGAAGGAACGUUGAAGACGACGACGUUGAUAGGCCGGGUGUGUAAGCGCAGCGAUGCGUUGAGCUAACCGGUACUAAUGAACCGUGAGGCUUAACCUUACAACGCCGAAG